GACGAACGCUGGCGGCGUGCCUAACACAUGCAAGUCGAACGGAGUCGGCCCCGCAAGGGACUGACUUAGUGGCGAACGGGUGAGUAACGCGUGAGCAACCUGCCUUUCAGUGGGGGACAACAGUUGGAAACGACUGCUAAUACCGCAUAAUGCAUUUUGACCGCAUGAUCGAGAUGCCAAAGAUUUAUUGCUGAAAGAUGGGCUCGCGUCUGAUUAGAUAGUUGGUGAGGUAACGGCCCACCAAGUCGACGAUCAGUAGCCGGACUGAGAGGUUGAACGGCCACAUUGGGACUGAGAUACGGCCCAGACGCCUACGGGAGGCAGCAGUGGGGAAUAUUGGGCAAUGGGGGAAACCCUGACCCAGCAACGCCGCGUGAAGGAAGAAGGCUUUCGGGUUGUAAACUUCUUUUACCAGGGACGAAGAAAGUGACGGUACCUGGAGAAAAAGCCACGGCUAACUACGUG
rnacentral:rRNA from 1 species